GUCCAGACUCCUACGGGAGGCAGCAGUGGGGGAUAUUGCACAAUGGGGGAAACCCUGAUGCAGCGACGCCGCGUGAGCGAUGAAGUAUUUCGGUAUGUAAAGCUCUAUCAGCAGGGAAGAAGAUGACGGUACCUGACUAAGAAGCCCCGGCUAACUACGUGCCAGCAGCCGCGGUAAUACGUAGGGGGCAAGCGUUAUCCGGAUUUACUGGGUGUAAAGGGAGCGUAGACGGCGAUGCAAGCCAGAUGUGAAAGCCCGGGGCUCAACCCCGGGACUGCAUUUGGAACUGUGUGGCUGGAGUGUCGGAGAGGCAGGCGGAAUUCCUAGUGUAGCGGUGAAAUGCGUAGAUAUUAGGAGGAACACCAGUGGCGAAGGCGGCCUGCUGGACGAUGACUGACGUUGAGGCUCGAAAGCGUGGGGAGCAAACAGGAUUAGAUACCCUCGUAC
rnacentral:rRNA from 1 species